GACAGAGGUGCCGAGCGUUAGGCGGAAUCACUGGGCGUAAAGGGCGUGUAGGCGGGUAGGCAAGUCGGGCGUGAAAUCCCUGAGCUCACUCAGGAACUGCACUCGAAACUGCUUAUCUUGAGUGCCGGAGAGGAAAGCGGAAUACCUGGUGUAGAGGUGAAAUUCGUAGAUAUCAGGUGGAACACCAGUGGCGAAGGCGGCUUUCUGGACGGUAACUGACGCUGAGACGCGAAAGCGUGGGGAGCAAACAGG
rnacentral:rRNA from 1 species